rnacentral:rRNA from 1 species
UACGUAGGAGGCGAGCGUUGUCCGGAAUUACUGGGCGUAAAGCGUGCGUAGGUGGUUUGUUAAGUCUGAUGUGAAAGCCCUGGGCUCAACCUGGGAAUUGCAUUGGAUACUGGCAGGCUAGAGUGCGGUAGAGGAUGGCGGAAUUCCCGGUGUAGCAGUGAAAUGCGUAGAGAUCGGGAGGAACAUCUGUGGCGAAGGCGGCCAUCUGGACCAGCACUGACACUGAGGCACGAAAGCGUGGGGAGCAAACAGG